CCUACGGGGGGCAGCAGUGGGGAAUAUUGGACAAUGGGGGGAACCCUGAUCCAGCCAUGCCGCGUGUGUGAAGAAGGCCCUCGGGUUGUAAAGCACUUUCAGUGAGGAAGAACGCCUGGUGGUUAAUACCCAUCAGGAAAGACAUCACUCACAGAAGAAGCACCGGCUAACUCCGUGCCAGCAGCCGCGGUAAUACGGAGGGUGCGAGCGUUAAUCGGAAUUACUGGGCGUAAAGCGCGCGUAGGUGGCUUGAUAAGCCGGUUGUGAAAGCCCCGGGCUCAACCUGGGAACGGCAUCCGGAACUGUCAAGCUAGAGUGCAGGAGAGGAAGGUAGAAUUCCCGGUGUAGCGGUGAAAUGCGUAGAGAUCGGGAGGAAUACCAGUGGCGAAGGCGGCCUUCUGGACUGACACUGACACUGAGGUGCGAAAGCGUGGGUAGCAAACAGGAUUAGAUAUCCCGGUAGUC
rnacentral:rRNA from 1 species